UACAGAGGUCUCAAGCGUUGUUCGGAUUCAUUGGGCGUAAAGGGUGUGUAGGUGGCGCCGUAAGUCGGGUGUGAAAUUUCGGAGCUUAACUUCGAAACUGCAUUCGAUACUGCGGUGCUUGAGGACUGGAGAGGAGACUGGAAUUCAUGGUGUAGCAGUGAAAUGCGUAGAGAUCAUGAGGAAGACCAGUGGCGAAGGCGGGUCUCUGGACAGUUCCUGACACUGAGACACGAAGGCCAGGGGAGCAAACGGG
rnacentral:rRNA from 1 species